rnacentral:rRNA from 1 species
ACGGAGGGUGCGAGCGUUAAUCGGAAUAACUGGGCGUAAAGCGCACGUAGGCGGUGUCGUAAGUCGGAUGUGAAAGCCCUCGGCUCAACCGGGGAACUGCAUUCGAUACUGCGAUGCUUGAGUGCCGGAGAGGGUGGCGGAAUUCCAGGUGUAGGAGUGAAAUCCGUAGAUAUCUGGAGGAACACCAGUGGCGAAGGCAGCUUCCUGGCAUAAUAUUGACACUGAGAUUCGAAAGCGUGGGUAGUAAACAG